UGGGGAAUAUUGGGCAAUGGGCGAAAGCCUGACCCAGCAACGCCGCGUGAAGUAUGAAGGCCUGCGGGUUGUAAACUUCUCUGAUCAGGGAAGUAACAAAUGACGGUACCUGAAAAACAAGCCACGGCUAACUACGUGCCAGCAGCCGCGGUAAUACGUAGGUGGCGAGCGUUAUCCGGAUUUACUGGGUGUAAAGGGCGUGCAGGCGGGCUGAUAAGUCAGAUGUGAAAUCACCGAGCUUAACUCGGGAACUGCAGCUGAGACUGUUGGUAUUGAGUGCAGGAGAGGAUAGUGGAAUUCCUUGUGUAGCGGUAAAAUGAGCAGAUAUUAGGAGGAACACCAGUGGCGGAGACGGCUAGCUGGACAGUAACUGACGCUGAGGCGCGAAAGCGUGGGUAGCAAACAGG
rnacentral:rRNA from 1 species